rnacentral:sRNA from 1 species
GGUCCCCAACACUUCCGGCUGCAGUGUUGUUACCAUGACCUAUAGAAGCACAUGUCCCAGUGGACUAUCCUCUGACAAGGCUACUCUGCCCUUCAAGCUCAUGGGAUGACUGCCCUGACUCCAUCCAGGAGACCUGGCCUUAGAAGUUACUACUAUCACGGAGGUGAUGGUAAGGCCAGGAGGACCAUGACAGUGGGAGGCUGCAUGUGAAAAUGAAGGGUGGCCCAGCAUUACCUGGAAGCUACAUGGUUUAACCCCUGAGUCCCUCUUCAGACCUUCAUUCUAUGCUGGUGUCCUCCUAGUCGCAACUCUGUCACCAGAAGACAGCAAUGUCUUCCCAGAAUCCCUCAGCCUUGCUUCUCAGUCUUGAGACUUGAAGAGCCUAGAGGAGGCCUCUACAGAUUAGUCAGUGGGUGGCCCCUGAUGUCUGCCAUUUCAUUUCCUUGGGAUUGUGUUCUGUAUGUGCACUGUCUGAUACAGCUUGGCUCUCAGUACUUACCAUGCUGCCUGUUCAUCAUGCCCUGGACUGUGCCUGCCCCUGUUCCCCUGUAGCAUCAUGGAAGCCAUCGCUCCCUUCAGAGGCCUGACUUCAUUCUUACCGGCAAGGAUUUAGGGUGAAGAUUGGCUCUGAGAGGUGACCCCAGCUUCCAUCCUGUCUCUAUACAUUCAUGUGAUCUGUCCUUUAGUCAGUUGCCAUUCACUAUGCACAGUGAUGUGCAAGGCCCUCGCUAGGGGCUGGAUCCCAGGAUCACUAUUGUGGUGGACAAGCUGUGCCCAAGGAGCUGACACUCGGGCAGGGUCCAAGGCACUCGGGAAGACAAAGGUGGUGAGGUGAUGGGAAAGUCAGAAGACGAGGAGGGCAUCUUGAUAGGAGGACAAUGUUGGAAUCCCAGAAAAAAGAAGCCAAGUUCCUCCAUGGGGCUCCACCAUUCUUCUCAUAUAUAUGCAUGUUGACUUUCUAAGCAGAUGCCUCCAGUUAUGAUUCUGACCAUCAGUAAGCACUUAAUGGUCAUGAGGCUUCCCUGACAGGAACAAAACAGGACUGAGCCAAAAUCUCAUUUCUGUGCUCCAAAGUCCUUCCCUGUUUGUGGUUGCUGAGGACGGUCUGAAGAGAAAAGACGGGAGCCUGCUGUGUCAGUGAAUGCCCAACCUCUGGAACUCUAUCCUGGUGCUUUCCCACAAGAUGCUGCUGGAUAUGGCCCCGUGGCAGGCCAAGAGCCUCUGUCUGCCAGACAGGAGACACCGUCACUGAGUCCAGCAAGCUCACGUGCAUCAUCACAAGCAGAUGUUGGAUGGAGGUCUGGGAAACACAGUGUGGACACGUGUGAUUUAGGUCCUCCAUUUCAGUGCCUAGACCUAGAAUUCCUCUGCACGUUGGGGCUUGGAAAAUGGCCACGUGCAGAGGGGCUGGCAGUUCAGGGAGCAGGGACAAAUCUGCACGGUCCUACCUCCCAGAAGAUGAGGCGAGGCGUUGCGGUUAGCAUGACUCGUGACAUGAAGCACUCAGAGGUUCACCACGAAUCUGAAAGUCAAGACACCGACCUCCAUUAAUAUUGUCUUCCUUAGCCUUCCCUUAGAGACAAAACUGAAAGUCACCGUGGACCUUAUCUUUAACAUGCUGAGUUCAUCUCAACAUUUAUCAUCGUGAAUAGACCUUCUAACCAACACUAAGAAUUCAUUUCCCAGAAAAUGGAACAUCCUUGUGGCCAUGACAUCUCUGGACUCUCAUAAGCCCAUCCUGGUGGAGGGUAGAGCUCUGUCAGUCAUGGGAGCAGUGCGUCUCUGCAGGUCAAGAUGAGUGGAUUCGUGGAAACUUUUAUCAAAAUGUGUUAAUGAUCUCAAGCAUUUGACUGUUAACUAUGGAGGAAGAACCAUUGGCCAUCAUCCUCACCCGUGGAUGUGUCUAUAUGUCCGUCCCAGCCCUUGAGCUGUCAAGUCUCCAGGGGAAAACUUCGUAGGGGAAGGUGCAGGAUCUACGUGUGGGUCUCUUUGCUUGCCUUCAGUACACGGAUAACACAGGUGAUGCUUCCUCU